UACGUAGGGAGCAAGCGUUGUCCGGAAUCAUUGGGCGUAAAGAGCGCGUAGGUGGCUGUAUAAGUCCGUUGUGAAAGUCAAAGGCUCAACCUUUGAAAGCCGAUGGAUACUGUAGAGCUAGAGUACGGAAGAGGCGAGUGGAAUUCCUGGUGUAGCGGUGAAAUGCGCAGAUAUCAGGAGGAACACCGAUGGCGAAGGCAGCCCGCUGGGACGGUACUGACGCUGAGACGCGAAAGCGUGGGUAGCAAACAGG
rnacentral:rRNA from 1 species